rnacentral:rRNA from 15 species
GUAAGUUCGCGAGAAGGAGGCCCAGUUUCUACGUAAGUAUUGACUGGGGGCACAAACCAGGGGGUGGCGACUGUUUACUAAAAACACAGGGCUCUGCGAAGUCGCAAGACGACGUAUAGGGUCUGACGCCUGCCCGGUGCCUGAAGGUUAAAAGGAGGAGUGAGAGCUCCGAAUUGAAGCCCAGGUAAACGGCGGCCGUAACUAUAACGGUCCUAAGGUAGCGAAAUUCCUUGUCGGGUAAGUUCCGACCUGCACGAAUGGCGUAACGACUUCCCCGCUGUCUCCAAGAUAGACUCAGCGAAAUUGAAUUGCCUGUCAAGAUGCAGGCUUCCCGCGGUUAGACGGAAAGACCCCGUGCACCUUUACUACAGCUUCACAUUGGCAUUAGGCCGAGCAUGUGCAGGAUAGGUGGUGGGCUUUGAAGCGGUGACGCCAGUCAUCGUGGAGCCUCCCUUGAGAUACCACCCUUGCUCUGCUUGAUGUCUAACCGCGGUCCGUUAUCCGGAUCCGGGACCCUGCGUGGCGGGUAGUUUGACUGGGGCGGUCGCCUCCUAAAGCGUAACGGAGGCGCGCGAAGGUUGGCUCAGAGCGGUCGGAAAUCGCUCGUUGAGUGCAAUGGCAGAAGCCAGCCUGACUGCGAGACUGACAAGUCGAGCAGAGACGAAAGUCGGCCAUAGUGAUCCGGUGGUCCCGAGUGGAAGGGCCAUCGCUCAACGGAUAAAAGGUACGCCG